rnacentral:rRNA from 1 species
GGAUCUACCAUGCAGUCGAACGGAAGGCCCCUUCGGGGGUGCUCGAGUGGCGAACGGGUGAGUAACACGUGGGUGAUCUGCCCUGCACUUUGGGAUAAGCCUGGGAAACUGGGUCUAAUACCGAAUAGGACUCCGGACUGCAUGGUCUGGGGUGGAAAGCUUUUGCGGUGUGGGAUGGGCCCGCGGCCUAUCAACUUGUUGGUGGGGUGAUGGCCUACCAAGGCGACGACGGGUAGCCGGCCUGAGAGGGUGUCCGGCCACACUGGGACUGAGAUACGGCCCAGACUCCUACGGGAGGCAGCAGUGGGGAAUAUUGCACAAUGGGCGCAAGCCUGAUGCAGCGACGCCGCGUGAGGGAUGACGGCCUUCGGGUUGUAAACCUCUUUCGCCAGGGACGAAACGCAAGUGACGGUACCUGGAGAAGAAGCACCGGCCAACUACGUGCCAGCAGCCGCGGUAAUACGUAGGGUGCGAGCGUUGUCCGGAAUUACUGGGCGUAAAGAGCUCGUAGGUGGUUUGUCGCGUUGUUCGUGAAAACUCACAGCUUAACUGUGGGCGUGCGGGCGAUACGGGCAGACUGGAGUACUGCAGGGGAGACUGGAAUUCCUGGUGUACCGGUGGAAUGCGCAGAUAUCAGGAGGAACACCGGUGGCGAAGGCGGGUCUCUGGGCAGUAACUGACGCUGAGGAGCGAAAGCGUGGGGAGCGAACAGGAUUAGAUACCCUGGUAGUCCACGCCGUAAACGGUGGGUACUAGGUGUGGGUUUCCUUCCUUGUGAUCCGUGCCGUAGCUAACGCAUUAAGUACCCCGCCUGGGGAGUACGGCCGCAAGGCUAAAACUCAAAGGAAUUGACGGGGGCCCGCACAAGCGGCGGAGCAUGUGGAUUAAUUCUAUGCAACGCGAAGAACCUUACCUGGGUUUGACAUGCACAGGACGACUGCAGAGAUGUGGUUUCCCUUGUGGCCUGUGUGCAUGUGGUGCAUGGCUGUCGUCAGCUCGUGUCGUGAGAUGUUGGGUUAAGUCCCGCAACGAGCGCAACCCUUGUCUCAUGUUGCCAGCACGUUAUGGCUGGGGACUCGUGAGAGACUGUCUGGGGUCAACUUCGGUAGGAAGGUGGGGGAU